GGUGGCGUGAUGAGCCCGGCCACCAGCCGCCUGCCCGCCCCAAGGCCCCGCCCCGCAUCCGCGCGUGGGGCCCCGGCGGGGAGGGGGAGGGGGGCGGGGGCGGGAGCGGGGGCGGUGCCGGCCUCCGGGGACCGGUGGGGGAUGGGGCCCGGAUGAUAAAUAACUCCCUGGCGCCCUCCGCUCCACUACGCCUACAAGUGCCUGCCUUACCGCUCCACUCUUCUGGCUCUGUACGGGCUGGGGGCAGAGGGCCUUAGGGAACUGUUCCCGGUGGCUUCCUGGGCAUGUUGGCCAGAUCUGCCAGUUUCACCCCCACCCCAAAUCUCCAGUGAUGUGUUUGCCCCAGAAAGACGAGGGAAGGGAGAGGAGAACUGUUGGAAGCUGCUGAAAGCGCUUUGAUCCUGAUACUUUUCACUGAGGAGUCUAAACGUACGGAGUCCAACUUCCUGACUUUACAGACUGAGAAACUGGGGCUUACUAAAUUGUGACCAGGCCUGACCUCUUAUACACCUGGUAGAACCCAGGCCUCCUGGGCCUCCUGCUCCUGGGCAGCCGCCUACAAUUUUACCCUGCAUCUGCCAGGGCCUGCUGUGGGUCCCGAGAUGCUGGCUGAGCACCUACUGUGAGCCAAGCGAUGGGGACACACACGAAUGACACAAACACCCUCACCCCGCACCUGGUCUGAAAGAGGAACCUGUCAAACACUGCUUCAAGGAGGCUGAAGGGUGCCCCCUCCAUGGACGGGGCCACGGCUCUAAUCUCUGCCGCUCUGGCGCCUCUUUCUCGAGAGCGAAGAGUUUACCCUUCUUGUUUAAAGCGACCUGCAACUCGGUUUAAUGUUUAGUCUUUAUUUGAAGACCCAGAGAACUAAAAUCUACUUGAUGAAACGGAAAGCCCCAAAGAAAGAGAAAGGAGUUAAUCAGGAAGCAGAAAGGGGUGAGGCGGAGGGGACCUCUCCAUGGGGAGGUACGCAGGGAAUGUCCCGCGGCGCUCGGGACACCGCGGGGCUGGGUAGAGUUUAUGGGGAACGUCCUCCGACACUUAGGACCCACCGGCUGGUGGGGGCGGGGCUUGCGAUCACAGUCCUUGGGUGACGGAACCCCGCUAGGGGGCCGGGGGAGGGGCGCCGGCCUUGGGCCGGGGGCGCGUCGGCCCCGGCGCAUUCCUGAGGAUCAGGUUACCGGUCGAGGCGGCGGCCCCUCCCCUCCCUUCCAGCCUGGCUUCCGCCCUCGCCAGGGGCAGGAACCACAGUCACCUCCCCCGUCCUGUGCAGGUGCUUGGCCAGCCGCAGGGAGGGGAUCCACACCCUGUCCUCUGGGCCGGCACUGGCGCUUUCCAGUCUCACAAGACCAUUUUACAGACGAGGAAACCGACGCGUCCUCAGCGCCUUUUCAGCACUGGUGGAACCAGACUGAUAGAGCCUGCUUUACGACCCGUGGCCCAGUUGACUCCACCGAGGCUGCAGUGUCCCCAGCCUCUCGUAGGCAGGCCGGGAAGAGCGGCUCAGUCUAAGUCCAGUGUUCAUUGAUUGUCCUGGGUGAGCCCCGAAGGGCGCCGGCUCAAGGAGAAAACCACGCCUCACAACACCUUCCCUACCAGAUUCGUGCGCUCAUCCAGGGAACUCUGCUGUAUACCCAGGCCCAGCCUCAAGCACCAUCAAUCACCCCUUCCACCACCCACUCUUGAGCACCUACUGUGUGUCCGGGCUCUGUGUGCUGGGGGAGGGUUUUCCAUCAUCCCUCAUCACCUCCUAAGCUGAUCCUCGAAUAGAAGACAGGACAGAACCACCAUAAUGAAGAAGUAUGCUUUAGGCUGAUGUCACUCUUUCUCCUUCAGGUCGACCCCUUUUUCUGUUUUUACUUGGGUAAAUAUAUUUCAAAAGGGAAACUUCAUGUCACCACCAAGAAUGGAAACCAGUUUCUCUUCCAUAAAUAGAAGGAAAGUGAAAAACGAUGAAAUGAGAGCAAAACCCAGGCAUUCCCUCCUCAAGGACACUCUGGGCCAGGCCCAGAGUGGGAAUGUCCAAAUAUCCAGAAAGCACUAAAGGCAGAGAAUCCCCAAGCCAAGCCAAGAAGAGUACAGGAGGGGCCACAAGGGUAGUUUUGUCCCCUAGCGGCCCAGCACACAGUAGAUGGUCAGUGAUGUGCUAAGCCUUGGCAGUGAGCACCUACCACGUGUGGGGGUUGCCUGCAUCCACCAGCAGCCUUCCAGUGCCUGCGAGUUACUGACCCGUUUCCAGGUACAAGUGGAGGUGAUGGCAGGUAGCAGCCCUUUGGGGGUGGGACCCCACUGGGGCCUCUCUGGGGAGACUUCAGGUUGGUUCAGUUAAGUGGAAGCUUCCGCCUAAAGACUUUGGGGCUGUCCCCACCCACAGUCCUGUGGCCCCUGACGUCCUUCUGUGCUGAGUUAUGGGCCCCUUCCCAGGCUGCCCAGGGACUGGGGAGGGAAGCAGUGUGUGAAUCAAUGAAUGAGUGCGAAUAAGUAAAUGAGUGAGUGAGUGGAUGAUGUAAGGGAUGGUUUGGUGAAGUAAUGAAUGGAUGAAUGAAUUAACGAAUGACCGGAUGCACCCAUGCUGCCAAGAUGGGAUACCCACUCCCCACGUUUUUCCGUGAUACCUUCCCACCAGCACUGCAAGGAGGGCCACCUGUCCACAUUUUUCAGAUGGAUAAACUGAGGCUCGGAGCAAACCAUGGCUCCACAUGUUGGAGGGCAGAUUGGAAUACAGGUGGCCUCGUUCACCGCGAGCUGCAGGCAAAGGGGCUGGAGCUCAGGGGGCUCCUCUGGCUGGGGCAGAGGAAAGCUGGAACUGGACCUCAAGCCUGCGGGGCCUCGAGGGCCGGCACCUGAUCGUCGCCCAGUAAAGGAGCGGGGCCCCAGCGGAGGAGUACAUUGAAUGGGGGCCAGGGGAGACGAAGGGAGAGAGCGGGGAAGUGGUGGGGGCGGGGCCGCCGGAGUGGGGAGGAGCAGGCAGUCCCAGUCGCUUAGGAAGGGGCCCCAAGGAAGGAGC